UCGGGAAUUUUGGGCAAUGGGCGAAAGCCUGACCCAGCAACGCCGCGUGAGGGAUGAAGUAUUUCGGUAUGUAAACCUCGAAAGAAUGGGGAGAAUAAAUGACGGUACCAUUUAUAAGCUCCGGCUAACUACGUGCCAGCAGCCGCGGUAAUACGUAGGGAGCAAGCGUUGUUCGGAUUUACUGGGCGUAAAGGGCGCGUAGGCGGCGCGGUAAGUCACUUGUGAAAUCUCUGAGCUUAACUCAGAACGGCCAAGUGAUACUGCUGUGCUAGAGUGCGGAAGAGGCAACCGGAAUUCUUGGUGUAGCGGUGAAAUGCGUAGAUAUCAAGAGGAACACCUGAGGCGAAGGCGGGUUGCUGGGCCGACACUGACGCUGAUGCGCGAAAGCCAGGGGAGCAAACG
rnacentral:rRNA from 1 species